AGUGAACGCUGGCGGUAGGCCUAACACAUGCAAGUCGAACGGCAGCACAGAGGAGCUUGCUCCUUGGGUGGCGAGUGGCGGACGGGUGAGGAAUACAUCGGAAUCUACUCUGUCGUGGGGGAUAACGUAGGGAAACUUACGCUAAUACCGCAUACGACCUACGGGUGAAAGCAGGGGACCUUCGGGCCUUGCGCGAUUUAGUGAGCCGAUGUCGGAUUAGCUAGUUGGCGGGGUAAAGGCCCACCAAGGCGACGAUCCGUAGCUGGUCUGAGAGGAUUAUCAGCCACACUGGAACUGAGACACGGUCCAGACUCCUACGGGAGGCAGCAGUGGGGAAUAUUGGACAAUGGGCGCAAGCCUGAUCCAGCCAUACCGCGUGGGUGAAGAAGGCCUUCGGGUUGUAAAGCCCUUUUGUUGGGAAAGAAAUCCAGCUGGCUAAUACCCGGUUGGGAUGACGGUACCCAAAGAAUAAGCACCGGCUAACUUCGUGCCAGCCGCCGCAGUAA
rnacentral:rRNA from 1 species